AUCCAGCUGACGAGUCCGAAAUAGAACGAAACACGUGUUCAACUGGAU
rnacentral:hammerhead_ribozyme from 1 species